GCUAAACUCUGCAGGACACCGGCCCUCCAGGACCGAGUUUGGGCAGCCCUGGCCUAUGUGUUCCUGGGCUUAUUACGAUUAAUGGAAAUCUGAUGAUUCGCUCAAAAACUAUGAUUCGUUUACGUACCAAACAAGUGACUGCCUUAAUGGGUUCUGCCAAAAAAGAGGAUCACAAACAUAUUGUAGACUUCUAUCCAGAGGACAACAACUGUCUACAAA